rnacentral:rRNA from 1 species
AAUGAACGUUGGCGGCGUGGAUUAGGCAUGCAAGUCGUGCGCGAUAGAUCUGGUGGUAACAUUAGAUCUUGAAAGCGGCGAAAGGGAGAGUAACGCGUGGAUAUCUGCCCUUGGCUCCAGGAUAGCUACGGGAAACUGUAGGUAAUACUGGAUAAUAUCUCCGGAUCAAAGGUGUGAUUCCGGCCGAGGAUGAGUCCGCGUCCUAUUAGGUAGUUGGCGGGGUAAUGGCCACCAAGCCGAAGAUGGGUACCGGGUGUGAGAGCAUGGCCGGCUCACUGGGACUGAGACACUGCCCAGACGUCUACGGAUGGCUGCAGUCGAGAAUCUUCCGCAAUGGACGAAAGUCUGACGGAGCGACGCCGCGUGCGGGAUGAAGGCCCUCGGGUUGUAAACCGCUGUCAGUUGGGAGAAGUGCUAUAGGGUUCUCUCUAUAGCUUGA